GGACCCUUAGCUCAGUUGGUCAGAGCUACCGGCUCAUAACCGGUUGGUCGUAGGUUCGAGUCCUACAGGGUCCA
rnacentral:tRNA from 1 species